UGCAAGUUGCACUUACUUUAAUAUAAUGUAUUAAAAUAAGUAAUGCUGUAACUUUCACGUUAUAUAAUUUUUUUGUGGGAACAAAAAAAAAUUGGAUUGUAGAAAAUUAAUAUUAUAUUAUUUUGCCAAGGAAAAAAAGUCUUUAAAAAUACAUUUUAUUCUAAAAAAAAAAAAAGAGAAAAUAUUGCUAACGAAGUUAAAAGCAAUUGUAAAGCAUUAAAAAUCAAUCGUUAGAGAACGUUAAGAUCGUAAAGGAAACCAUGCUUGUUAGAUUUACCAGUAUUACGUGCAAUCUAGAUUCGUCAGCCAUCGUUAAGGCAUAAUUUCUGCUGGCUUACACACACUUUCGUUUGGAGAAAAGUAUGCUUGCAGAGAGGGUAUAGUUAUCUACCUUUCUUCAAUAUUACUGAAUCCUUCUUAGGAUCCAGACGUAUAACUCACGAGUCAGAGAUAAAAAGAAAACGGGUGCUCUUUAAGAAAGAAGGAGAGAGAGAAAGAGAAAAAAGAAAAAGAAUAGAAGAAGAAAACGACGACAAGUUCGUGACGAGAAACACUUUGUAGAAGACGAAUUCCAAGAAAAUUCGAACUGGAUACAAGGUACGAAUAGAGAAUCUUGAAAAAGGGAAAACGAGUUCGAUGCAUAUAACCAUCUGUUUUUUCCGAUACUGACAUUAUUGCGAAGGUUAACAUUAUAAAUUUCAAGGUUUUACGAUUAUAAAAGAACGUCUAUGAUUAACGUGGCCUUGAGUUUAAACAUGAAGAUCAUAGAAGUUUUUAUAUGUGUGAUGUCAAUCGAUCGAGAAUGAAUUAUUUUAAUCCAAACAUGUAUUUAUACUUCGCAAUGUUAUGGUGUUUGUUCUAAGAAAAAAAAAAAAAGAUUAUUACGAUCUAGUAAAAAGGUCGAUUUAAAAAUGAUCUAUCUUGGAUCGGAUUUAACGGAAGGCGGAGCGUAUACGGUAGGAAGAGCUCAAUUCUUCUUAACGAACCAUUCGCCUUUCACCGUGUUGCCGCCAUUUUCGAGAAUCUCAUGCUCUAUCAUAUACAACUCGUUUAGUACAAAGACAAAAUAUCCUUUAAAUGAAAUUGCGUAUAUAUUUGUUUUUCUCGAAAAAAAAUUGAACAACAAAAUAUCACGAUUUCUUAAUUCGAUGGACAUACGUUUUCAUGUAUGUUAUACCGAUGCAAGGAAAGUUGUUAUAAAGAUAAAAAAAUAUAAAAAAAUAAAAAAAAAUAAAAAGAAAUAAAAAAAAAUUAAAAAACGCACUGAUAACACGGAAUUGGACUUGGAUCCAGCGGUUACGUACAUAUCUCUAAAAAAUUGCAAUUAAACGUCAUUAUUGCUAUAUCAUUCUCUUCUUGUCUCGAAAUAUUGAUCAUUAGAAAUAAUCGAGAUAAAGAAAUUCAAAGAGAAAGAGAACGAGAGAUAAAGACUAAAAAAAAAGAGUAGUUGCAUAUCUGCCUGCAAGUGAAGUUAAGACCUUUCUCUUAGAAAUAAAUAUAUUACAUAAUAUCUAUGCAUCGUUGAUAAAGACUCGAAUAGAUUUCGUUUAAUACAAACAUCAAGAUGAGAUUAAUGUAAUUAAAAAGAAACCCAUAAAAAAAUAAUAAAUAACGAAAUAAUAAUAAACAAAGAUACUUAAGUUAAAACAUAUUAAAGAUUACAUUGCAAUUUUAUCGUUUUCGUUAUCAUAUAUAUUCUCCAUUCAAAAAAUUCUAAUCACGAAUAGACAGUUUGUUCUUGCCUUGUCAUUGUCUUGUCUUAGACAAAUUUUUAUAUCGUGAUAUAUAUAAAAAGGACAUCGUUAAUAAAGAAAAUCCUCAAAAAGGAAUCUCUAUGAACGUAAUAAGACAUAUCAUCGAUAAUAAAACGCUCGACGAAUAUGAUUCAUAAUACGUCUAAUAAGAGUCAAAUCCGUCGUUGCAUUAUUAGAUUAGAACACUUUUGCGGUUAAUCUGACUGCAAAGAAGAUACCGCGAAAAAGAUAGAUAAAGGCUAACGACACUCAACGAUAUCUUUGGAAGCUGUAUAGUAAUGUAAAGAGAUAGAGAUAAUACGUCAUCUGCAUAGGCUAAUUACGAGAUCGAUAAUUACAAGUUGCAUACAUAUAUAAAUCAUUAAUGUUUAUUCGUCUAAUUUUUCUCAAUGUUUUGCGAAUAACAUUUCUGCUUUUUUAGAAAUAAAAAUUAUAAAAAAAAAAGAAAAUGAGAAUUAUAUAUUUUUAUCUAAAUAUUAGUGCGAUGAAUUCAUCGACAAUAAUGAAUGUCGACGAGCGAAUGUUUAAAUUAGUUUCGACGGAUGUGGUCUACUUUCAAGGAAAUAACGGUUAUCCUUUUUCAAAAAAAAUGCUUUAAAACUUGCAAUAAUAAUAUGUGCAUAGAGAAAUGCGAUAACGUAAACGAGUGAAAAAUAAUCGAUGACAAUAAUAUUGACAACGAUUACGUCGAUGUUUUUCAAAAAUUCCUUCAAAAAAACCCAAGAGAAUUCUAUGCAUGUUUUCUACCUUCCCUUACCUUUUUCCAUCUCCAUAAGUUCCACUUAAGAAAAAACUUUUCUAAACUAUGACACAAAAUAAAAGAAAUUUCGAAAGAACGAAUCUGUUAAAUGAAAAGAAAGAUUCAAAGAGAUAGAAAGAUGCCGAUGAUUUAAUGUACAUUUAUUUACUUGAACUUUGACUCUUUUGCUUCAGCCUGACCUCAGAAUAGAAUGGUCGACUGUGUGUGUGUAUUUAUUUGUACGUGUAUGUGUAAGUACAUCCGUUAAAUCUAGUAUUUCUUUUUCGUUUUCAUGGAAGAAAAAUAAUUCGUUAGAAACAAAAUAUAUUCUUAUUCCAUUCAAACACGGUGAGAAAACGGCACGGAAUUUCUUAAUUGACAGGAGAAAGUCAGCUUUGUGUGACGAUACUUAAGUUAAAGUAUGUUUUGAAAACUUUCAUUAGACUUUGAAAACGAUUAUUACAACAGUAAUUAGAAAAUUCAGACAAGAUCUAAGGAAAAUCCAAGUUUCCCUAUUUUUUGUUUUCUAUUUUUUUUCUUUUUAUUAUCAAAAAGUAAAAUUUUUAUUAACGUUUCGCUUUUAUCAUCUGAUGAAAACCAUUUGCGUGUAUAUAUAUAUAUACAUAAAAAAAAAAGUUUCUCUCGGACGACCCGACAUCGUGCACUCUCACCUCUUAUUUACGUAAGAAUCAUUAUAAGAUACAACGUUCAUACAAGAAUAUUUCUGACCAAGAAUGCGAUAAAGAUUUCAAACUUCACCUAAAUUCAAACAGAUUCGUCUAAUAACUCGAUCGUUAGUUUGGCUCUAAUAUUAGUCGAAAAGAAGGAACUUUACAUUGAUUGUAAAUACAUCCGAUAGUCUCAUUCUAUAAAUAAAAUACAUGAAUUUCGAAGGAAUUUCGAAAAAGUCCGAUUUUUAUUUUCGAAAGAAAUUUUGAAAGGGGAAUGAAUGUUGGUCAACAGAUUCGGGUCAAAGUACAAUUUCGUGAGUCACAUGAUCGAGGAACUUGACGAACUUUUCGGAACGUACUUCGUACUAUUUGAUCUUAGUCUAUUUUCAUAAAAUAUCUAUCUUAAAUAGGAUGUAAAAGGAAGAUAAGAAAAUUGCUCUCUCGAGUUAAAUGAUCGUCUUAAAAGUCUAACGUAAUAUUCUACGUUAGACAUUUUUUCUUCGUCUAAAUGACGAAAAAAAUAAUGAAAAAGAAAAAAUAUAAUAAAAAAGAAAAACAAAAAAAUUGCAAAAUUCAACAAGGAAGGAGAUCACUUGCAUUUUAACGUCAAUCGUGACGAGCGAUUGAGUGACUCAAGGGACAAGUGACGCAGCGAACAAGUGUUUAAAUAGAAAUAAUGGCGACCCUGGACGAUCGUUCGAACCGAUAAAAUUCAAACGUAUUCGAGACUGCGACAACGACGAAGGUAGCCCAAUAGAAAUUUAUUAGUUAAAAACUCGACCGUUCGUUUUCUUUCCUGCGUUUGUUCUUUCCCAAGCAAACUUUUUCAAUAAUUCUCAACUAUUCUACUGAAUGUAGAACGUUCUCGUAAACGAGAAAAAAAUAUAUGAAAAUAUGUUUCAUAACUAGUUUCAUAUAAAACGAACUUGCUAUAAGGGUCAUCGCCAUUUGGAUUGUUUAUUCGUUAGCAGCAAUGAUGCAAGAUAAGGAGAUGCGAACGAUCGAGUUUUUGCGAUAUCACAUGAAUACUUGAUAACAAACAAGAUGGAUCGUGUUUUUGUCAAAGAAUUAAAAUUUUCGUAAUCCUUUUUGUGACCUUCGACGAUUGAUCGUAUGCUAAAUCAUAAGAAAAAAUUUGUAGCGAAUUCGUGAGACAUCUGAUCGUUUAAUUAUUCGGAAAAGAAAAAGUAAUAUCAAAAGCGAUAAUAUAAAAAGAUCGAUAGUUGGACGAUUAACAAAAGAAAAAAGAUCAUAGAGAACGAGAAACGACAAAAUUAAAUUCAUGAACGGCAGCCGAUCGUUUACGCACGUCAAUUGCUGUACCAGCGGCUUGUACAUAACGACAACGAUGGCUGCUUUAUCGCACGCAGGGGCGACGUUAUCACUCUGAUACCCAACGUAUAUACAUUCCCCGCGAGCAGCCCCCGGUCUCCAGUAACUCGCGGACCACCGGCCCAGUUCACGCAACACGCUUUCGGUAACACGAUGACACCGACAUCGAUUCGCGACAUUGACUCUUCGUAAAAUCCUCCGAUCGAAAUAGAAGCAAUAAGGGCAAGAAGAAAAACAAACAAAAAGAAAAAAGGUUACGUGAAAGGAAUUAAAUAUUAGAACUACUCACCAAAAUCACGAUGUCGAUAUUUGGUCACUUCGGGUUCUCCACAGUCGUCACUUCUUCUUCUUUUCAUCUUCCUCUUCAAAAGUGUCCAAAUCGGCAGAAAAGAUAGAGUAGUAAAUCACAAUGAAUAUUACAUCAACCAGCGUAUUCAUCAAUGAA